rnacentral:rRNA from 1 species
AGUAAAUUGGUUAAGUUAGAAAGGGCGCACGGUGGAUGCCUUGGCACUAGGAGCCGAAGAAGGACGGGACUAACACCGAUAUGCUUUGGGGAGCUGUACGUAAGCGUUGAUCCAGAGAUUUCCGAAUGGGGGAACCCACUAUCUUUAGUCGGAUAGUAUCCUUACGUGAAUACAUAGCGUGAGGAAGGCAGACCCAGGGAACUGAA